UACGGGGGGGGCAAGCGUUGUUCGGAGUUACUGGGCGUAAAGGGCUCGUAGGUGGCCAACUAAGUCAGACGUGAAAUCCCCAGGCUCAACUUGGGAACUGCGUCUGAUACUGGAUGGCUUGAAUUCGGGAGAGGGAUGCAGAAUUCCAGGUGUAGCGGUGAAAUGCGUAGAUAUCUGGAGGAAUACCGGUGGCGAAGGCGGCAUCCUGGACCGAGAUUGACACUGAUGAGCGAAAGCCAGGGGAGCAAACGGG
rnacentral:rRNA from 1 species